rnacentral:siRNA from 1 species
CAAGCUUCUUCAGCUAACCAAGUU